CUGAGGAGGGUCAGGCAGCACAGAGCGCGCGAAUGCGGCUGCUCCUCCACUCUCGAAUCCUGAGGUAAAAGGCGGCAGAAAAAGGUCCGAGGCGGCGCCAGAGGUGGCCUUGGAGUCACCUCGGGCUGGAAUCUGAGGAAAACCCGCUCGAACGAGGGCUCGGAGCGAGGAGGAGGACACCGGCAUCGGGCUGCCGCCUCUUCCCGCCACUUGGCGCCUCAGGAGGCCGAGUGGCGCUUGCAGAGUUGGUUCCUGAGAGCUCUGUGCUGCUCUGUUCCCUGAGCAGAUAUGAAAUGGCAGUAUUCCCUGGGAAUAGAAGGUGGAUUCAAGCAGAAGGUGUAGGAAAAAGCUUUUGAAAUCUUGUUAGAAGUUGGAUGUUGAUGAAGCCUGAACUUGCAGCAGUGCAGAGUGUGGUGGACAGCACACUUGAAAUAAAGCAGCAGCCUUGCAGCUCCAAGUCCUGUGGAUUAUGGCUGUUCCCCUUUGGCAUGGUGUUGUCUUCAGAGCAUCCCAAACCUGAGCUUUAUAAGCUGUUUGUAAGUGUUUGUGUGGAAAGAGCAUCUGAAGGAAAUCAGGAGUUUCUCAGUGGUACACCCUGGUCUUUAUCUAUGUCACUGGAAUGAUCUUUAUCAACAACUCCCAGCAUAUUAUUCCCAGGACAGGUGAUACGCUAUCCUUCUGGCUUCAGAGGUUCCAACACAGUUCUGAAAAAAAACCCUUUUAAUAAAUGAAUUUUUGUUAUUGGUGUUUUCAGGAUAUUAAAAAUGGUUGUGUGUACAGGCAAAUAAAAACACAAAGUCAGGGCACAAUAUCCAAGGUAUCAUUAACUAUGAGCUCUUUGCUGAAUCUUCCCUCAGUGACUUUUUUCCUUCAGGAUUGUACCUAUUUUCCAAUUCCAACCAAUUGUUGAGUAGUUUCUACUUGUGAAAUCUUCAAGCAGAUGUAAUUCUGUGCCUGCCAUGGGCAGAAAAAAAAUCUCUUAUCUGUAAAUCUUGCAUUUUCUUCCUGACCCUGAUACUUUUGAGAG